GAUGAACGCUGGCGGCGUGCCUAAUACAUGCAAGUCGAGCGAACAGACGAGGAGCUUGCUCCUCUGACGUUAGCGGCGGACGGGUGAGUAACACGUGGAUAACCUACCUAUAGACUGGGAUAACUUCGGGAAACCGGAGCUAAUACCGGAUAAUAUAUUUAACCGCAUGGUUCAAUAGUGAAAGACGGUUUUGCUGUCACUUAUAGGUGGAUCCGCGCCGCAUUAGCUAGUUGGUAAGGUAACGGCUUACCAAGGCAACGAUGCGUAGCCGACCUGAGAGGGUGAUCGGCCACACUGGAACUGAGACACGGUCCAGACUCCUACGGGAGGCAGCAGUAGGGAAUCUUCCGCAAUGGGCGAAAGCCUGACGGAGCAACGCCGCGUGAGUGAUGAAGGUCUUCGGAUCGUAAAACUCUGUUAUUAGGGAAGAACAAAUGUGUAAGUAACUAUGCACGUCUUGACGGUACCUAAUCAGAAAGCCACGGCUAACUACGUG
rnacentral:rRNA from 1 species